GAAUUUUUCCCGCAGUCUCCAUCGCCGGGGAGCGGUUUCUGUCCGGCUGCAAAUGUUGCACAUGCAGAAGAUGGUGAGCCUGCUUUUUGGUGCCUUUGGAUUUUUCUUUCCAAGCUUUGGAAGUUCCCCAGAGCAGCUGCCAGAAGUCUGGGGAUAUUGCAGUUAAUAAUUAAAAGAUAUAUAUAAUAAAUGAUCAAUGGCAAACAGACGUUGCCUGCAUUUCAGAAUACUCAUUCCUUUAUUUUUCAUGGCUGCCGGGUUCUUCACCUCUAGGAGCAAGUGAACUUGGAAACAGAGUCCACAAGGAACCAUUUCAUACAAUGGUCUAAUCUGAUCUGACCAAGAGUCUCACCCAGCAGUUCCUACAUCAAGUCUGUAAUUUCUGUUGGAGUUGGAACAUAUAUUUUAGUGAAACAUCCAGUCUUGAUUUAAAGACUUCGAGAGACAGGAAAUC